UAAUACGAAAGGUUCAUGACACUCAUAAA
rnacentral:sRNA from 1 species